rnacentral:rRNA from 1 species
AGUGAACGCUGGCGGCAGGCCUAACACAUGCAAGUCGAACGGCAGCACAGUAAGAGCUUGCUCUUACGGGUGGCGAGUGGCGGACGGGUGAGGAAUACAUCGGAAUCUACCUUUUCGUGGGGGAUAACGUAGGGAAACUUACGCUAAUACCGCAUACGACCUACGGGUGAAAGCAGGGGAUCUUCGGACCUUGCGCGAUUGAAUGAGCCGAUGUCGGAUUAGCUAGUUGGCGGGGUAAAGGCCCACCAAGGCGACGAUCCGUAGCUGGUCUGAGAGGAUGAUCAGCCACACUGGAACUGAGACACGGUCCAGACUCCUACGGGAGGCAGCAGUGGGGAAUAUUGGACAAUGGGCGCAAGCCUGAUCCAGCAAUACCGCGUGGGUGAAGAAGGCCUUCGGGUUGUAAAGCCCUUUUGUUGGGAAAGAAAAGCAGCAGGUUAAUACCCCGCUGUCCUGACGGUACCCAAAGAAUAAGCACCGGCUAACUUCGUG